rnacentral:rRNA from 1 species
UACGUAGGUUGCAAGCGUUGUCCGGAUUUACUGGGCGUAAAGAGCGCGUAGGCGGUCGCUUUAGUCGCGUGUGAAAGCCCCCGGCUCAACUGGGGAGGGUCACUCGAUACUGCUCGACUUGAAGGCAGGAGAGGGAAGCGGAAUUCCCGGUGUAGUGGUGAAAUGCGUAGAUAUCGGGAGGAACACCAGUGGCGAAGGCGACGGCCUGGCCUGUUCUUGACGCUGAGGCGCGAAAGCUAGGGGAGCAAACGGG